GGCUACGGCUCAACCGUAGUAAGCUCUUGAAACUGGGAGACUUGAGUGCAGGAGAGGAGAGUGGAAUUCCUAGUGUAGCGGUGAAAUGCGUAGAUAUUAGGAGGAACACCAGUUGCGAAGGCGGCUCGCUGGACUGUAACUGACGCUGAGGCACGAAAGCGUGGGGAGCAAACAGGAUUAGAUACCCUGGUAGUCCACGCUGUAAACGAUGAGUACUAGGUGUCGGGGGUUACCCCC
rnacentral:rRNA from 2 species